rnacentral:lncRNA from 1 species
CAAAAUCAACCCUUUUCUUUAAGUAUCUCAUGGAUCCAACCACGUAGAAGGUUAGAUUCAUGAAGCUACUUCAGUUAUACUACCUCGACAGACCUAAACUUAAGAAUGCAAUAAUAAAAAAAUGACUAUACCUGAGUUUAACUAUAUUGAAAGUUAAACACACAAAUUAUUAUAGGUUUCAACUUAAAAUCCCAGCAUCUUCUUUCCUCAGCAUUUGGAUCCGAGCUUAAAAUCUUUUAAAGCCAAUUAGUUCAACAAACUAGUGGAUAAACCAAUAGGCUACAACUUACAACGAAUCAGUUAAAGGACAAAUGAAAACCAUUAUUUUUUAGAGUAAAAGAAAUCAGAUGAAGGAGAGUAAGAAAGCAUUACAUGAUGAACCCGAAUACUCUCGUGAGAUACAACUCUCUAGGUGAUUUUAACAACAUUUUUACACGCUGAAAUAUAGAGAGAGACACAUGAAAAAACUGAUGAAAGAUGAGUAACAGACAUUAAUUCCUACUGUUAAUAUAUGCAUCUAUACACACAUAGUUAUGAAUAAAUUCAAAUUGCACAAAUAGAGUCAUUCUCGUAGCUGAAACUUAGUUACAUACCUAGAGAUGAUUCAAAGAAGACCAAAUAAAGGUCAAGAGAAAAACUGAUUCUUCUAAAGAUAGUGAUUAAAAACAAACAACACACAGUACCAAAUCAGAACCCAAUUUCAGCUUCCAAAACCUAGAGAUUUCAACUCAAGAAGACCAAAGGAAAUCCCUCUACUUCAAAUCAUUUUCAGCUUUUAAGAAAAAGGAAAGACCAAAAGAGUAAAGGUUUUCUUAAAGUUUAAAACCUAGUUUUCAGCCGAAGAGAGAAUGGUUUUUGUG